rnacentral:rRNA from 1 species
AUUGCACGCUGGCGGCAGGCUUAACACAUGCAAGUCGAACGAGUGGCGGACGGGUGAGUAAUGCUUGGGAAUCUAGCUUAUGGAGGGGGAUAACUACGGGAAACUGUAGCUAAUACCGCGUACACUAGGAAGAGCCCAAGUGGGAUUAGGUAGUUGGUGAGGUAAAGGCUCACCAAGCCGACGAUCUCUAGCUGGUCUGCAAGGAUGGCCAGUCACACUGGUACUGAGACACGGACGAGACUCCUACGGGAGUAAGCGUUGGGGAAUAUUGCGCAAUGGGGGCAACCUGACGCAGCCAUGCCGCGUGAAUGAAGAAGGCCUUCGGGUUGUAAAGUUCUUUCGGACGAGAGGCGUUACUCGCAGAAGAAGCACCGGCGAACUCCGUGCCAGCAGCCGCGGUAAUUC